CUUGCAAUUUCCAGUAUGAAUAUUUAUAAUAUGUUUGCUGUUUAUACAGUGAUGAUUCUGAAUUCGUUGCGGAAUAAUCGUUUUGGACUGGGGGGCGGUACCCCACAGCUCCACCAAUUUAUCUUAUGGGGCUGACAUAGUUUCGACAGGCGAAGUAAAGGCAAAUCGAUUGAAUCCGGGUUGUUCCGUUAAAAACAAACUAAAAACUGAAUGGCGAUACAAUCGCUGCGAACGACAAUGUUCGCGUUGCAAUGGCUGCUUAAUAUAGCAUUGAAAUAUAUUGGCAAUUGUUGGUAUAUUUCGUUUUAGCUUUUGCGGGGUUUGUCGGGUACCUGGCACCAGAAACCC
rnacentral:tmRNA from 1 species